GAUGAACGCUGGCUGUGUGCCUAAUACAUGCAUGUCGAGCGAAGCACUUUUGUGCUUAGCGGCGAAUGGGUGAGUAACACGUACUUAACCUACCCUCAAGAUUGGGACAACACUUGGAAACGAGUGCUAAUACCAAAUACGUAUUUUUAUCGCAUGAUAGAUAUAUAAAAGGAGCUUCGGCUUCACUAGAGGAUGGGAGUGCGCUACAUUAGUUAGUUGGUAGGGUAAUGGCCUACCAAGACUAUGAUGUAUAGCGGGGCCGAGAGGCUGAUCCGCCACACUGGGACUGAGAUACGGCCCAGACUCCUACGGGAGGCAGCAGUAGGGAAUUUUCCACAAUGAACGAAAGUUUGAUGGAGCGACACAGCGUGCAGGAUGAAGGUCUUCGGAUUGUAAACUGCUGUUAUAAGAGAAGAAAAACCCUAGUAGGUAAUGACCAGGACUUGACGGUACCUUAUCAGAAAGCGACGGCUAACUAUGUGCCAGCAGCCGCGGUAAUACAUAGGUCGCAAGCGUUAUCCGGAAUUAUUGGGCGUAAAGAGUUCGUAGGUGGUUUUGUAAGUCUGAAGUUAAAUACCGGGGCUCAACCCCGGCCCGCUUUGGAUACUGCAAAACUAGAGUAAUAGAGAGGUUAGUGGAACUCCAAGUGAAGCGGUGGAAUGCGUAGAUAUUUGGAAGAACACCAAUGGCGAAGGCAACUAACUGGAUAUUAACUGACACUGAGGAACGAAAGCGUGGGUAGCAAACAGG
rnacentral:rRNA from 1 species